AGUCCGGAGACGCUGGCAGAGAGGGUGGUGCACGCGUGGUGUGUGUGGCAAGCGCAGGGACUGACACGGUUGUUGUAGCGUGGUGAGCGAUUGCUGAGAGCUGAAGGAUCGGUCCGGAGAAGCUGCACUUGGAUUACCGUCUGAGUGAUGCGCUGCUAGACCGUCUCCGCACCACAGCUCGAUCUCCCGUGUCUGCCCGCCCGCCGCGCCAUGGCGGUCCCGUCACUGAGCUGUCUGCUGGUGCUGGCCGGUCUGUCCGCGGCCUCCGCCCUCUGGCAGGAGGACCUGACGCCCCGGCGAUACGUCCCACUCGAUGAGCGGAGCAUGCUGAGGUUCGCCGGUAACGUCUCGCAUAAGGACCACUUCCGACUGCUGGAGAACGACGGCAGCUCGCUGCUCAUCGGCGCCAGGU